rnacentral:tRNA from 1 species
GUCAGGAUGGGCGAGUGGUCUAAGAUGCGGCCACUCAAGGUCCAACUCCCGGGUGGAGGCGUGGGUUCAAAUCCCGCUCCUGGCU